rnacentral:rRNA from 1 species
UAGGGAAUCUUCGGCAAUGGACGAAAGUCUGACCGAGCAACGCCGCGUGAGUGAAGAAGGUUUUCGGAUCGUAAAACUCUGUUGUUAGAGAAGAACAAGGACGUUAGUAACUGAACGUCCCCUGACGGUAUCUAACCAGAAAGCCACGGCUAACUACGUGCCAGCAGCCGCGGUAAUACGUAGGUGGCAAGCGUUGGCCGGAUUUAUUGGGCGUAAAGCGAGCGCAGGCGGUUUCUUAAGACUGAUGUGAAAGCCCCCGGCUCAACCGGGGAGGGUCAUUGGAAACUGGGAGACUUGAGUGCAGAAGAGGAGAGUGGAAUUCCAUGUGUAGCGGUGAAAUGCGUAGAUAUAUGGAGGAACACCAGUGGCGAAGGCGGCUCUCUGGUCUGUAACUGACGCUGAGGCUCGAAAGCGUGGGGAGCAAACAGG